CUCAUGCAUUUAGUAAUUGAGAUAACAGUGUCUCUCCUCCUUUCCACUGCUGAGCUUUUUUCAUGCUGGUUGGAGGUUUGUGUGUUUUUUUCAACACAAUAAAAGGUUGUAAGAUCAGCAGGAAGAGCAAUCACUGACACUCCGUUCAACAAGCAGCUCAAAGAAUCAACCAUGACACAAAAGAUGAUGAAGGUCUCUGUCGCCAUGGUGACCUUCUUCAUACUCUUCUCAUCUGUCGCCGACCUGACAUCUGCAGCUAUUGGUAUCUAUCAGCCAAGUACAUGCUGCAAAAACUUCAAUCCAAAUAAGAUACCUGCUUAUGCGGUGAAGAGCUUCAAAUACACAAGCAUGGUGUGUGACAAGAGAGGUGUUGUUAUUACAACGAUAAAAAACAAAGACAUCUGUGUUGACCCGUCCAAGGAGUGGGUGAAGAAACUUGUGAAUGGAGAGAGCCACACCACUUUGUCCCAGAAUUCAUAGUUACUGGAUCUACAAAAAUUUAAAGACAUGCAUGAAGACACAGCUAGAUGAUUUAAGGGCUGCUUUAUUUUUAUCUCAGUAAAAUGCUCAUCAAAUGAAUUGCAAAAUGUCUUCUGCUGCUUAGACACAGUCUGCUUCAUCAUGAAUCUGUUAAAGGCGUAAAUAAUUAAUCAAACCUGCAAACAUGCAAAAAAAAAACAAAAAAAACAUACUAUAUUUUCCCUUUUUGUAUUCUGUUUUCUCCAUACUUGCUUUUAAUAAAUGGAAUUUCAAAACUGACUUGGAUUCUGAUUGAUGAAUUACUAAAACAUUUGCCACCAUAAAUGGAACCCUUUGGUAACAAAUAAUUAAAUAAAGAUUUUUUGUGUUUCACUUUGGUUUCAUGGUGAUUUCAAGUCUUUCACAUGUAAUAAAGAUCCCAGCCACCAGGUGUCACUGUUUCUCACUCGAGAAAUGAUUUUCAAGUUGUUUGAGGAAAACUAUGAAUAAAUAAUAAUAAAAUGUUCAUGAAUACAUUCUGUUCAGCAUCAGUUCAUGUCAUAGAAACCUCAUCAGUCCAAUUGAAGCAUUAAAGUAGGUGAGCUACAUUAAUGCUGCCUCUGCACGUCUAAAUAAACUGACAGAUAAUAUUAUUUGAAUGAAUAUUAAUGCUCUAUAAAAGCAUCAGGAUAAAACUUUUUUUUUUGCUCUUUUUCAAAUAUUAAGCACAGACAUUCAACAAAAUUCUUCAUUUUUAGCAGAAAUCCAGCUCCCCACAGGUUUCUAACAACUUUUUGUGUCUAUAAUAUUACAGUCGUAGUUUAAAUAUCAGAACUACUUUAAGGUUCUAUUUUUUUUUUAGUUUGCACAUCUCAUGGGUUCAUGUGUCUCAUCUCCUUCAAUCUGCCAAGAACUUUGUGGUGUCUAGCUUUUUGUUCACCGCAAGAUCAAGAUAAAGUUUGUCUCAAGCAUUGG
rnacentral:lncRNA from 1 species